UUUCUUUAAGGUACAUGUAAGGAGCCUAUACAUUAAAGGAAUGUAAUAUUUUAAUCCAUGGAUCAUAGUUGGGCUGUGUGUGAUGAACGCUUCACAAUCACCAAUUAUAGUGGUUACAUACAGAGGGUAUCUCCAGGUCACAUUUUGUUGCCGGCUGUUCACUAAAGGAAAUUUUAUAAAAUAAACUGUUUUGUAC